rnacentral:rRNA from 1 species
AUGUACAUUCCUAUAGCAUAGAGUUAAUGCACCAAAUCCCAUUAGAACUUUGCAAUUAAGUGUGUUCAUGCUAGAGUAGUAUUGGGAUGGGUGACCGCCUAGGAAGUGCUAGUAUUUUACAUG